UACGUAGGGUGCAAGCGUUGUCCGGAAUCAUUGGGCGUAAAGCGCGCGUAGGUGGCUUCGUAAGUCCGUUGUGAAAGUCAAAGGCUCAACCUUUGAAUGCCGAUGGAUACUGCGAAGCUAGAGUACGGAAGAGGCGAGUGGAAUUCCUGGUGUAGCGGUGGAAUGCGCAGAUAUCAGGAGGAACACCAAUAGCGAAGGCAGCUCGCUGGGACGUACUGACACUAAGGCGCGAAAGCGUGGGGAGCGAACGAGG
rnacentral:rRNA from 1 species